GAUGAAGAACGUAGCGAAAUGCGAUACGUAGUGUGAAUUGCAGAAUUCAGUGAAUCAUCGAAUCUUUGAACGCACAUUGCGCCUGCCAGCACUCUGGCAGGCAUGCCUGUUCGAGCGUCAUUUCAACCAUCAAGCCCUAGGCUUGCGUUGGAGCCCUGCGGCUGCCGCAGGCCCCUAAAAGCAGUGGCGGGCUCGCUAUCACACCGAGUGCAGUAGAUUACUCUUCGCUCAGGGCGUGUGGCGGGUUCCAGCCGUGAAACCCCCUACUUCUCAAGGUUGACCUCGGAUCAGGUAGGAAUACCCGCUGAACUUAAGCAUAUCAAUAAGCGGAGGA
rnacentral:misc_RNA from 1 species